GACGAACGCUGGCGGCGUGCUUAACACAUGCAAGUCGAACGGAAAGGCCCUGCUUUUGUGGGGUGCUCGAGUGGCGAACGGGUGAGUAACACGUGAGUAACCUGCCCUUGACUUUGGGAUAACUUCAGGAAACUGGGGCUAAUACCGGAUAGGAGCUCCUGCUGCAUGGUGGGGGUUGGAAAGUUUCGGCGGUUGGGGAUGGACUCGCGGCUUAUCAGCUUGUUGGUGGGGUAGUGGCUUACAAAGGCUUUGACGGGUAGCCGGCCUGAGAGGGUGACCGGCCACAUUGGGACUGAGAUACGGCCCAGACUCCUACGGGAGGCAGCAGUGGGGAAUAUUGCACAAUGGGCGGAAGCCUGAUGCAGCAACGCCGCGUGCGGGAUGACGGCCUUCGGGUUGUAAACCGCUUUCGCCUGUGACGAAGAGUGAGUGACGGUAAUGGGUAAAGAAGCACCGGCUAACUACGUG
rnacentral:rRNA from 1 species